GACGAACGCUGGCGGCGUGCUUAACACAUGCAAGUCGAGCGGAAAGGCCACUUCGGUGGUACUCGAGCGGCGAACGGGUGAGUAACACGUGAGUAAUCUGCCCCUGGCUUUGGGAUAGCCACCGGAAACGGUGAUUAAUACCGGAUAUGACAUUUGACCGCAUGGUUGGGUGUGGAAAGUUUUUCGGUCCAGGAUGUGCUCGCGGCCUAUCAGCUUGAUGGUGAGGUAANGGCUCACCAUGGCUUCGACGGGUAGCCGGCCUGAGAGGGUGACCGGUCACACUGGGACUGAGACACGGCCCAGACUCCUACGGGAGGGCAGCAGUGGGGAAUAUUGGACAAUGGGCGGAAGCCUGAUCCAGCAACGCCGCGUGAGGGAUGACGGCCUCGGUUGUAACGUAC
rnacentral:rRNA from 1 species